rnacentral:misc_RNA from 1 species
GAUGAAGAACGUAGUGAAAUGCGAUACUUGGUGUGAAUUGCAGAAUCCCGUGAACCAUCGAGUCUUUGAACGCAAGUUGCGCCCGAAGCCUCGGCUAAGGGCACGUCUGCCUGGGCGUCACGCAUCGCGUCUCCCCCAAACCGCCAAGGCGGAGGGGAAGGAAGAUGGCUUCCCGUGCCUCACCCGGCGCGGUUGGCCUAAAUUUGGAGCCCGCGGCACUUAGCUCUCGCGGCGAUAGGUGGUGAACAAGGCCUUGGCCGUGCAAACAACCCGCUGCGAAGCUCUAUGUCACGUGCGCUCGUCGGACCCUUUGAAGUUGCCUUCGGUGACUUAAAACCUUUGCGACCCCAGGUCAGGCGGGGCUACCCGCUGAAUUUAAGCAUAUCAAAAGCGGAGGA